rnacentral:lncRNA from 13 species
GACUCUGUAGUUCAGGCUCUGUAGGCCAGGCUCUGUAGUUCAGGCUCUGUAGUUCAGACUCUGUAGUUCAGGCUCUGUAGGCCAGGCUCUGUAGUUCAGGCUCUGUAGUUCAGGCUCUGUAGUUCAGGCUAUGUAGUCCAGGCUCUGUAGUUCAGACUCUGUAGUUCAGGCUCUGUAGUCCAGACUCUGUCGUCCAGGCUCUGUCGUCCAGGCUCUGUCGUCCAGGCUAGGUAUUUCAGGCUCUGUGAUCUUCGACCCUAUAGUGUAAAUACAAAGAACUGUACAUAAAUAUGUGUAUAAACUUAAGAGGUAAAGAGUAAUGUAAAGGCAAAUCUAUUAUUAUACAUAUAUAUUAAUAUAUGUGAUGAUAUAUUUAUUAUGUGUAGAGAAAUGAAAUGAUAAAUAAUGUGAUGUUUAUUUUUGUCCCCCUGCACACGAUUAUUACCAGAUUCACACACAGCAACACAACAGACAUGUGACUCUGCAGAAACACGAGUGAAGAAAGAUAUUACUGUUCUGGGAGGGGCCUCUGAGUAAAUCACCAAGAAAUGCUCGCUCAAAAAAGCAAUCUUUAUAAAAAAAUAUAUAUACCCUGCAUUGGAACGCUGUACUCAUUUAGAGGAAGAAGUUGCGGUUUACUGAUUAGUUUUUGUUUGGAAGAUAUGUUGCCAAGGAUAGUCCAGAUAAUAUGAGGAAUCAAUCCGAGAUGAUGAUGGACAGGUGGGUCGGUCCACCCUUAUGGUGCCUUUUGAGAAGUGUCACUUGGACAAAGGAAACAUUAGAUUUGACCUCGUUUUCACAUCCUGUCAUGAAAAACACAUUUUCCCGUCUCAAGAGGUUAAAUAAAUAAAACACUACUAUAGUAAGUGCCUAUUCCGUGCCAAAUAAAGUAUCAGGGUUGUGCGUGACAGGGUUGACGAUUUCUUCUUAAAUCAGCCAUGAAUCCCCGUGUGACAUGGGGGAAUGGACGUGUGUUGUGUGCAACAGGGAGGGAGAGGCAAUUGAAUGUAACACUUAAACUAUUAGAAAUUGUUCAGACAUUUCAAGCUUGUCUAUCUAUGGGUAACAGGGUGUUCUGCUGGACCGGCUCGGUUUCCCACCACAAAACACCAGAAGAUGACCAGAAACAGUCCAACCGGUGUUUACUCUGUGAUUUGACUAUUAGAUGUUCUGACCUACUCUACAGUAUAGACCCCACCAUACUCUACAGUAUAGACCCCACCCUACCCUACAGUAUAGACCCCACCCUACCCUACAGUAUAGACCCCACCAUACCCUACAGUAUAGACCCCAACCUACUCUACAGUAUAGACCCCACCAUACUCUACAGUAUAGACCCCACCCUACCCUACAGUAUAGACCCCACCCUACCCUACAGUAUAGACCCCACCAUACCCUACAGUAUAGACCCCACNNNNNNNNNNNNNNNNNNNNNNNNNNNNNNNNNNNNNNNNNNNNNNNNNNNNNNNNNNNNNNNNNNNNNNNNNNNNNNNNNNNNNNNNNNNNNNNNNNNNNNNNNNNNNNNNNAACACAAGGCAUUAAAGUACUGAGGAGGCAGACGUAGUGGUGCUGCUCUAGUCAUGGAAGGCAGUAGCUUUCCUUAACCUUGGUGUUGACUGUCUGUAUCCAGCCCUCCUGCCUCCAGACAGGUCAACGUGUCCCCAGGUCCCAGGCCUCUACAUUACCAGGUCCAUUAAGACCUAAUGGGCCAACAGGUGGUCUGGGGCAGAAGCAGGGCAGCACACCACUAGCUGAUAGCCAGACCUGGGUUCAAAUACUAUUCUAAAUCAUUUGAAAUACUUCCUCUGUGCCUGAUGGAGCUAGCCUGUUGCAAUGGACCCUAUAGAAAAGUCCCAACUUCUGUAAAUCCCUCCCUCCUGGCCCACCAGGCUGGCAAAGGUGAACGCAGCAAACAUUCAUGGUAUAUGAAAUGUUUUGAAUAGUAUUUGAACCCAGGUUUGCUCCUAGUGGCUAGGUUAGCUGUCCUCAGGGUUCAGAGGCCUCUGUUGGUAAGUGAUACUGAGAAAUGGCUUUUCUCUGGGCCUGUAUCACUGAGGAUUCAUCAAUCUUACAAUGGGUGGGGGGGUCAGUGUGUGUGUGUGUGUGUGUGUGUGUAAGGUGGGGGAUCAUUGAGCCUUGAUCUCAACCCCCCUGACCCUUGACCUCGUUCGCUCAUUUGUUUUCGUUAGUCCCCCCCACUAGACAACCGGCCCCAGUGACCCCCCCUAACACCCCUCGCCUCCUUACCCUUUUAGUGCAAGCAUUUCUGAAAGUAUCUCUGAAGGACCUGUUCCUAACUCAAAUAAUUUGAGGUAUUUCUCAACUCUCUAUGCCCCCCUCCCUUCCUCCUCCUCCUCUCUUCUCCCCCUCUUCUAGAACCUGCAGCAGCACUAAAGCAGUGAAGAGUCUCUGGACACUUCUAAAUCAGCCUGGAUGAAUCCUCACAUCCGCAGUCUUCCUUCUCUUAAUCCCUCCACAGUGAAAGGUAUGCCCUCUCACAGAGAAGCAGGAAGGCCACAUCAGUUCAAGUGUAUCUAGCUGACUAGCACGUGAAACAUGUACCAG